CAUACACUGACAUGAAUCAGCCACGGGUGUACAUGUGUUCCCCAUCCUGAACCCGCCCCCCACCUCCCUCCCCAUCCCAUCCCUCAGGGUCAUCCCAGUGCACCAGCCCUGAGCACCCUGUCUCAUGCAUCGAACCUGGACUGGCGAUCUGUUUCACAUAUGAUAAUAUACAUGUUUCAAUGCUAUUCUCUCAAAUCAUCCCACCCUUGCCUUCUCCCACAGAGUCAAAAAGUCUGUUCUUUACAUCUGUCUCUUUUGCUAUCUCACAUUUAGGGUCAUCAUUACCAUCUUUCUAAAUCCCAUAUAUAUGCAUUAAUAUACUGUAUUGGUGUUUUUCUUUCUGACUUCAUUCUGUAUAACAAGCUCCAGUUUCAUCCACCUCAUUAGAACUGAUUCAAAUGUAUUUCUUUUUAAUGGCUGAGUAAUACUCCAUUGUGUAUGUGUACCACAGCUUUCUUAUCCAUUCAUCUGCUGAUGGACAUCUAGGUUGCUUCCAUGUCCUGGCUAUUGUAAAUGGUGCUGUGAUGAACAUUGGGGUAUACGUGUCUCUUUCAGUUCUGGUUUCCUUGGUGUGUAUGCCCAGCAGUGGGAUUGCUGGGUCAUAUGGCAGUUCUCUUUCCAGUUUUUUAAGGAAUCUCCACAUUGUUCUCCAUAGUGGCUGUACUAGUUUGCAUUCCCACCAACAGUGUAAGAGGGUUCCCUUUUCUCCGCACCCUCUCCAGCGUUUAUUAUUUGUAGACUUUUUGAUAGCACUCCAGAAUUCUUGCCUGGAGACAGAGGAGCUUGGUGGGCUACUGUCCAUGGGGUCACAAAGAGUCAGACAUGACUGAGUGACUUUCUUUAAGUCAAAUAUAAUUCUUUCUUAUAAUCAUGAUUGUUUUUACUGUUGAGCCAAAUGAGUAGAUUCCGAGAGGUAAAACUGAAACUCAGAAAAACCCUAGAAAUAUUAAAUUACUGGAAGUCAAGCACAGUGAACAAGUUUUAGAUUCUAGAUGGGAUGUCACGUGUUUUGAGAGUUUGGGCUGCAGAGAAGGUAGAAACGCCAUCUUCUCAAACCUCAUCCUCCCCUUGUGCUAUGCCUAAAGAGUAGCUGGCCCUGGGUCCUUCUGGAAUUAAGACUAGAGAGAGAAGACUGAUGAUAUAUUUGAAGAGGCUUAGAAUGAAAUCAGUAAUUAAAUGUUGAUAAUAGAACUUCAGAGAAGAAUGGGCUGAGAGGGGUGGAAAGAGACCUUUUGAUUUAACUAGUCCUGUAUGUGUGUGUGUGUGUGUGUGUGUGUGUGUGUGUGUGCACGUGCUGACAAAGAAAAUGAGGCCUAAGGAUUUAAAUGAUUUAGCCCAUGGUUCCUGCUAUAUACUGCCAGAGUAAGAAUUUGCAGUUUCCUUACUCCUUGUUAAGGCUAGGCUAGAUGGGCUUAGGCUGGUGGCAUCUUACAGACUUUGCUUAAAUGGACCCCCUUUUUGGUAGUACUAGAUAAUGAAGGUCUGUUCUUAGUAAUUCAUAUUUAGGGCUUAAAAAUGAAAGAUUUACUUACUUAAAUUUUCAUGUUAAAUUAAGAAAAUUGGUGUUAAAUGUUAGAGGAUGUUGAUCUAGCAUCUAUUGCCUAAACAUCCCAUAAACUCAUUCUGAAAAUUUCAGUAACUCUAUAGACCCGAUCCUCUGUACCCAAAACAAAUCUUGACCAUCAGUCUUAAUUUAUCUAUAUCUAUUUGUUGUUGUUUAAUGUCAGAAAUCAUGAGCUAUCUUUGGUUGUCUUUCUGACUCCUGCCACAGUAAAAUGCAAAGACAGAGGAAGAACAACUGUAAGUGUGAUUUAUUAGUAAAGUGAUUUCUUCCCAGCCUUGAGUUUUUAUUCAGAAUUCUGGUUAAUUCGAAACUUUUUUUUAACAAUUGAAUAGGAAUGUGUAGGAAUUUGGAGUAGCUCCUUUGAGGGAUACUGAGAGAGAGGGAGUGAUGGAACAGAAUGAGGAGAAUCUAAAGUGAUGAUAUGUAAAGCAGGUCACAGAACAGGCUUAUAGAAUUUUUGUGUGUUUUCUACCCCAUUUUCAAAGUCUUUAUUGAAUUUGUUACAAUAUUGCUUCUGUUUUAUGAUUUGGCUUUUUGGCCACAAGGCAUGUGGGAUCUUAGCUUUCAGCUAGGGAUUGAACCCUCACACCCAGCAUUAGAAGAUGCAGUCUCAACUAAUGGACCACCAGGGAAGUCCCAGGAUUACAGAAUUUUAGAAUGAAACCUUGGAAAGGAGAGAAAGGGAGAUAGAGGAAGUUGAGAGAAGAGAUACAUUGUGAUAAAUAUUGAUAAACUUACAUUGAUACUUUGAAUUGAAUAAAUUGUCUGCUUAAGACUACCUUGGUUUAGGUCUCUAUCACAUGCAGUGCCCUAUGUAAGUCACUUCAGUAAUGUCUGACUCUUUGAGACCCUAUGGACUGUAGUCAGCCAGGCUCCUCUGUCCAUGGGGUUCCUAGGCAUGAAUGCUGGAGUGGGUUACCAUGCCCUCCUCCAGGGGAUCUUCCAGGGAUCAAACCUGCAUCUCUUGUGUCUCCUGCAUUGACAGAAAACCUUACUAAUACUCAUUUAAUUUUUAUGAGAAUUCAUAUAACACAGCUAUUGAAUCAAAUUAUAUCCCUAGAAACGAAUUGUUUUAUGAGUCUGCUGAAACUAAAGUGCAUUGUAGAAUUUUUUCCUAAAUCACUCCUCUGUUAUAGAGAAAUUAAUUUUAAAUGUGUUGAUUUCUUUAGUUAGUAUUUUUGAAAGCUGGAUAAGUUAGCCACUUUUUUUUUUUUUUAAAGAAAUGCACCUUCAGCUUUGAGUCAUCUUAAAUUAGAUGUCAUCUUAAAUUUUGAGUCACCUAAAAUUAGUAAUAUUUAGCAGGAAAAAAAAGUGUAAAUUCAGAUGAAGAAUUGAUUCUUUAGUAGUUGCUCUGGGUUGAAAAAUGAAAACCAUAUGGUCUCUUUCUAGAAGCCUGCAACCUAGUUGGGUGUGGAGAGUGAUAAGGCUAGUGCACAAAUAACCACCACACAAUGCAGAGCUGAUUAGCGAUAAAUGCCGUAGAGAGGCACAAAGUUCAUGGGCCUGUCACAGGAAGUAUUGUCUAAUUCUUCUUUUGUUUAACUAGCAUAGCACUUAAUUUUUUUUACUCUGCUUUAAAUUAAGAUAUACAUAGCGUUCACUUUUUUAAAGUGUAAAUUUCAGUGUGUUCUGAUAUUCACAAGGUUGUGCAUCUUCACCACUAUCUAAUUCCCAAAUAAACUUCUUUUAAAAAUUAAAGUGUAAACUUCUUUUAACAAUUAAAAUGGUUUUAGCUAUGGUAUGUUCUCUGGUUCAGACUCUACCACCUCCCUACUGGUUUACAUCUGGCUGCUUCUGCUAUUUACAUUGGCCACCUGAUUCCUGAAGGCAUUUAAGCUUGCUACCAGGCUUCCCUGGGACUUCCCUGGUGGCUCAGUUGGUAAAAAAAAAUCCACGUGCAAUGCAGGAUAUGUGGGUUCAAUCCCUGGGUCAAGAAGAUCCCCUGGCAAAGGAAAUGGUGACCCAUUCCAGUAUUCUUGCCUGGGAAAUCCCAUCGACAGAGGAGCCUGGUGGACUACAGUCCAUGGGGCUGCAAGAGUUGGACAUGAUCUAGUAGCUACACCACCGCCACCCACCAGGCUGGAGGAGUGCUUUUUUUCUAGUUUCCUUUACUUGAAUGCAGAUGCCACCAUUGCCCUGGAGGUGCAGGUGUGGGGAUACUGACUGCUCUCCUGCUGAGCAUCCUUUUUCCCACCUUUAUCCCUUUUCCCACUCUACCUUCUGACUCCUUCAUAUGGUCCCCACCUCUCCUGUAUGCAGCCCUUUGUGAGAGAUGAUUCUAUUGCCCUCAAAAGGGCUUCCUUGAAAUAAAAUUGAAACUCCUUUUCUUAGCUUACAGAUCCUUACAUGAUCUGGCUCUCUUCUCAUCAGAUAAAUCUUUCUGUUCCAUGACAUUGUCAAACUUGUUCCCUCUCCCUGGAAUGCUUUUCUCUCUGCUCUUUUCAUGACUGAUUCUGUCUUGUCAUUCAUAUCUCAUAUUAAAUAUUACUAUGCAGAGAGGUCUUCCCCUGGUCAUUGAAUCUAAAGCAGCUGCUUGCUCCCUUUCCACACAACCCUAAUUUAACUAUCACCACAGUUGUCAUGGGUCUCAUUUUGUUGUUAAUAAUUUUCUCCCUUCACUAAAAUGUAAGUUCAGUGUUAGUGGGUCCCUUAUUUGUCACAUAUAUAACUGUUUCCUGAGCUUCUAGAAUAGUGUCUGGCACAUGGCACAACAUUUAUUUGUCAAAUAAAUGGUUGUUUUGAACUCUGACUCCUGCUCUGUCUGGUUCAUCUGCCAGGAUGAUUCUCCCUGUUGCUGUCUUCCAGAAAUUUGCCAAAAAUCUCAGGUCCUUUGAUGCCUUUGCCAUCUCCAGCUCUCACUGCCUUUAUCAGUUAAUUCCCUUUUGUAAUUGUUUACUGUCAUUUCAGUGGAAUGAAAUGUAUUCUGUCACUCUUUUGACAGGUUGAUAUAUUUUUGUCAGGUUGAAAACAUGAACAAAGGCCAAGACAGGAAAGCAUGGCUUGUUUUUUUGACUGAUUGAAGGGUAGAAAACAAAGUUGAAAAUUUAGGUUGAGGUCAUGUCAGAGAGGGUCUGGAAUCAUUUGAUUAAGAGUUUGUAUUUAAUUUAGAAUGUCUUGAACCUUUGUGGGAUGUUUGAGCAGAAUCAUGACAUGAAGAGUUUUUAAGAAAGGUUGGUCUGAAGUUACUAGAAUAAUCUGAGGAUGAUUCAUUGUGAAACGUGGUCAACAAAUGAAAAGGAAUUAGAAAAAUGGUUGAGCCUCCCCGACGCUCACACUGGUGAAUUGGUCUGUGAUAACUACGAUUUAGCAAUGUGAUUUUUAUUUACAUGGAUUGGUUGAUUGUAUGGGGAACUGUAUUGGAUGUGUGUUCUAUUAGUAUAGUUACAUGUUGUAAAUGUCUUAGAACUUUUACAUUAAUGAGAGAGAGAGAAAGCAGACAUCUCGGCUUUGUUGAGUCGGGAUAUUUGGUCAACUCUGGCAGUUCAUAUCCCUGGAUGUUGGCAAGAGGUCAGGGAAUAUGUUAAUGAAUAAUGCAGGGUGUUAACUAGUGUUUCAGUGUUAACUCCCUUUGUUCUCCAUUUAGUAACAAAAACUUAAAAAUCAAAACAUCUUUAAAAACAACUCCAGCUUAAAAUCUACAUUUAACUUUAGCCCUAUUAUUUGAUUAAAUGCUAGUCUUUGAUUUAGAACUGUAUUCUGAUUUCUUCCUGACCUACUUGUAAUGUUCAUCAACUUUUUUUUUUUUCCACUUCGUUACUUGUUUUUUUUCAUCCAGAGUUUGGAAAUGAUUGUCUUUUGCCUCUGAAAAAAUUAACUGAUGAGUAAUUAUUUUUCUAAGCUGUUAAGCUUUAUUUCCACUAAGGAAAACUAAUUUUAUGAUGAUCAAAAUAACCUUAAAAAAGUUUACUGAGUGAACCAGGCAAAUGCAGUUUAGAAAAGGUAACACAUGCAUACCUAAUAAAAACCAUAUGUUGGAGAAAUAUGCAGUUGUCUCCAGUUAAUUUUUUAAUUUUAAAUGAUUUGCUAGUUGACAUAUUUUAUUUUCCUAACUACAAAUUCUUGAGGGAUAGAGACUGUUCUUUCUUUUUAUCUCCCCUCCCUCCUUUCUCUCUCUUCUUUAAUUUAUUGUGAUAUAAUUUUAGACUUAUGGAAAAGGUUUAAGAAGAGUAUAAACAACUCCCAUAUUCCCUGUACCUAGAUUCACCUAUUAUUUACAUUUUGCCCUGGUAGCUCAAACAGUAUCAUAUCUAUACAUACACACAAACACGUUUUUUUAUGAGCCAGUUAAGAGUAAGUUGCAGGCAUUAUGCCUCUUUAUGGUUAAAUGUUUCCUAAGAACAAAGAUAUUCUCAUAUAACAUCAGUACUAUUAUCAAAAUCAGGAAAUGUAACAUUGGGGGAUACAGUACCAUGAUCUAAUCUACAAUCCAUAAUCAAAUUUUGUCAAUUAUCCCAAUUUUGUCCUUUGUAGCUAUGUUUAUGUAUAUAAUGUAACUUUUCUAGGUCCAGGAUCCAGCUGCAGGAUCAAACAUUGCAUUUAGUUGUGCUGUCUCUUUGGGGGAGGGGGGAAAGGUGAAAGUGUUAGUUGCUCUGUCUCGUUGGACUGUUUGCCACCCCAUAGGCUGCAGUCCAUGGUGUUGCUAAGAGUUGGACACAACUGAGCGACUUCACUUUCACUUUCCACUUUCAUGCAUUGGAGAAGGAAAUGGCAACCCACUCCAGUGUUCUUCCCUGGAGAAUCCCAGGGACAGGGGAGCCUGGUGGGCUGCCAUCUAUGGGGUUGCACAGAGUUGGACAUGACUGAAGCGACUCAGCAGCAGUAGCAGCAGCAGCAGCAAAUAUAAAGACUAGAGGUAUCUUCAAGAAAAUUACAGAUACCGAGAGGACAUUUCAUGCAAAGAUGAGCACAGUUAAGGACAGAAACAGUAUGGACCUAACAGAUGCAGAAGAUAUCAAGAAGAGGUGGCAAGAAUACAAAAAAGAUCUUAAUGACCCAGAUAACCACAAUGGUAUGAUCACUCACCUAGAACCAGACAUCCUGGAGUGUGAAGUCAAGUGGGCCUUAGGAAGCAUCACUACAAACAAAACUAGUGGAGGUGAUAGAAUUCCAGUUGAGCUAUUUCAAGUCCUAAAAGAUGGAGUGGAGGUGAUGUAAUUCGAGCUGAGCAUCCUAAAAGAUGAUUCUGUUAAAGUGUUGCACUCAACAUGCCAGCAAAUUUGGAAAACUCAGCAGUGGCCACAGGACUGGAAAAUGUCAGUUUUCAUUCCAGUCCCAAAGAAAGGCAAUGCCAAAGAAUGCUCAAACUACCGCAUAAUUGCACUCAUCUCACACGCUAGCAAAGUAAUACUCAAAAUUCUCUAAACAAGACUUCAACAGUAUGUGAACCGAGAACUUCCAGGUAUUCAAGCUGGAUUUAGAAAAGAGAUCAAAUUGCCAACAUCCGUUGGAUCAUUGAAAAAGCAAGAGAGUUCCAGAAAAACAUCUACUUCUGCUUCAUUGAUUACGCCAAAACCUUUGACUGUGUGGAUCACAAAAAACUGUGGAAAAUUCUUAAAGAGAUGGGAAUACCAGACUACUUAAUCUGCUUCCUGAGAAAUCUGUAUGCAAGUCAAGAAGCAACAAUUAGAACCAUACAUGGAACAAUGGACUGGUUCCAAAUAGGGAAAGGAGUACGUCAAGGCUGUAUAUUGUCACCCUGCUUAUUUAACUUAUAUGCAGAGUACCUCAUGCAAAAUGUUGGGCUGUAAGAAGCACAAGCUGGAAUCAAGAUUGCCAGGAGAAAUAUCAAGAACCUCAGAUAUGCAGAUGACACCACCCUUAUGGCAGAAAGUGAAGAGGAACUAAAGAGCCUCUUGAUGAAAGUGAAAGAGGAGAGUGAGAAAGCUGGCUUAAAGCUCAACAUUCAGAAAAUUAAGAUCAUGGCAUCCGGUCCCAUCACUUCAUGGCAAACAGAUGAGAAAACAGUGGAAACAGUGUCAGACUUUAUUUUAGGGGGGGUCCAAAAUCACUGCAGAUGGUGACUGCAGCCAUGAAAUUAAAAGAUGCUUGCUCCUUGGAAGGAAAGCUGUGACCAACCUAGACAGCAUAUUGAAAAGCAGAGACCUUUGCUGACAAAGGUCCUUCUAGUCAAAGCUAUGGUUUUUCUAGUAAUCAUGUAUGUAUGUGAGAGUUGGACCAUAAAGAAAGCUGAGUGCUGAAGAAUUGAUGCUUUUGAGCUGUGGUGUUGGAGAAGACUCUUGAGAGUCCCUUGGACUGCAAGGGGAUCCAACCAGUCAAUCCUAAAGGAGGAAAGUCCUGAAUAUUCAUUGGAAGGACUGAUGCUGAAGCUGAACCUCCAAUACUUGGGCUACCUUCUGCAAAGAACUGACUCAUUGGAAAAGACCCUGAUUCUGGGAAAGAUUGAAGGUGGGAGGAGAAGGGGACAACAGAGGAUAAGAUGGUUGGAUGGCAUCACUGAGUUGAUGAACAUGAGUUUGAGCAAUCUCCACGUGUUGGUGAUGGACAGGGAAACCUGGCGUGCUGCAGUCCAUGGGGUCGCAAAGAGUCGGACAUAACUGAUAUCAGUGUUGACUUGUGGAUUCUUGUCUUAAUCAGUAGGUUAUACUUUGUGUCAUAAUUUAUUUUGAUCUUAAAUGAUCCCAGAAUAGGCCCCUUCUGGCUGGCUCUGGUGUCCUUAUGACAUGUCCCCAUCUUUACUGAACAUUUUCUGGCAUAGUAUUCCAG
ensembl:lncRNA